AUUGAACGCUGGCGGCAGGCUUAACACAUGCAAGUCGAGCGGGGGAAGGUAGCUUGCUACCGGACCUAGCGGCGGACGGGUGAGUAAUGCUUAGGAAUCUGCCUAUUAGUGGGGGACAACAUCUCGAAAGGGAUGCUAAUACCGCAUACGUCCUACGGGAGAAAGCAGGGGAUCUUCGGACCUUGCGCUAAUAGAUGAGCCUAACUCGGAUUAUGUAGUUGGUGGGGUAAAGGCCUACCAAGGCGACGAUCGUUAGCGGGUCUGAGAGGAUGAUCCGCCACAGUGGGACUGAGACACGGCCCAGACUCCUACGGGAUGCAGCAGUGGGGAAUAGUGGACAAUGGGGGGAACCCUGAUCCAGCCAUGCCGAGUGUGUGAAGAAGGCCUUAUGGUUGUAAAGCACUUUAAGCGAGGAGGAGGCUACUCUAGUUAAUACCUAGGGAUAGUGGACGUUACUCGCAGAAUAAGCACCGGCUAACUCUGUGCCAGCAGCCGCAGUAA
rnacentral:rRNA from 1 species